CUCAAACGUAUGAACAAGCCCAUAGUCAAGAGUAUCAAGAUGGAUAAUGGCGAAACAUAUGAUUGUGUUGAUUUCUACAAACAACCAGCCUUCGACAACCCAUUACUCAAGAACCACAUACCCGAGAUGAGUUCUUCGAUUCAAAGAGAGACUCCUAAAGAAGCUUUUUCUGGAGCAGAACAGCUGGAU